rnacentral:tRNA from 1 species
AGGCCCGUAGCUCAGUUGGUUAGAGCGCUACCUUGACAUGGUAGAGGUCGCUGGUUCGACCCCAGUCGGGCCUACCA